rnacentral:rRNA from 1 species
AGUGAACGCUGGCGGUAGGCCUAACACAUGCAAGUCGAACGGCAGCACAGUAAGAGCUUGCUCUUACGGGUGGCGAGUGGCGGACGGGUGAGGAAUACAUCGGAAUCUACUUUUUCGUGGGGGAUAACGUAGGGAAACUUACGCUAAUACCGCAUACGACCUACGGGUGAAAGCAGGGGAUCUUCGGACCUUGCGCGAUUGAAUGAGCCGAUGUCGGAUUAGCUAGUUGGCGGGGUAAAGGCCCACCAAGGCGACGAUCCGUAGCUAGUCUGAGAGGAUGAUCAGCCACACUGGAACUGAGACACGGUCCAGACGCCUACGGGAGGCAGCAGUGGGGAAUAUUGGACAAUGGGCGCAAGCCUGAUCCAGCCAUACCGCGUGGGUGAAGAAGGCCUUCGGGUUGUAAAGCCCUUUUGUUGGGAAAGAAAAGCAGCAGGUUAAUACCCCGCUGUUCUGACGGUACCCAAAGAAUAAGCACCGGCUAACUUCGUG